rfam:Glycine max cultivar Williams 82 chromosome 9, whole genome shotgun sequence.
GAAUGGAAUGAUGAUUAUUAUUUCCCUAUUGGUUUGAUUGCCUUCAUGAUGGCAUUUUGUAUUAGCUCUAUCUGACCAUUC